rnacentral:misc_RNA from 1 species
UUUCCGUAGGUGAACCUGCGGAAGGAUCAUUAUUGUAUAACCGAGGUGCGAGGGCUGUCGCUGACCCGAAAGGUCGUGCACGCCCGAGUGCUCUCACACACAUCCAUCUCACCCCUAUGUGCACCACCGCGUGGGUCCCCCUUUGGCUUGAUCGGAGGGGGGCUUACGUUUUCACACAAACUUUGUAUGCAGUGUAGAAUGUAUUUUUUGUUUUUGCGAUCACGCAAUCAAUACAACUUUCAACAACGGAUCUCUUGGCUCUCGCAUCGAUGAAGAACGUAGC